UACGGGGGGGGCAAGCGUUGUUCGGAAUUACUGGGCGUAAAGGGCUCGUAGGUGGCCAACUAAGUCAGACGUGAAAUCCCUCGGCUUAACCGGGGAACUGCGUCUGAUACUGGAUGGCUUGAGUUCGGGAGAGGGAUGCGGAAUUCCAGGUGUAGCGGUGAAAUGCGUAGAUAUCGGGAGGAACACCCGUGGCUAAGGCGGCUCUCUAGUACGGUACUGACGCUGAGACGCGAAAGCGUGGGGAGCGAACAGG
rnacentral:rRNA from 1 species